rnacentral:rRNA from 1 species
GAGGUUGGGAGAGGGAUGUGGAAUUCCCGGUGUAGUAGUGAAAUGCGUAGAUAUCGGGAGGAACACCAGUGGCGAAGGCGGCAUCCUGGCCCUGUCCUGACGCUCAGGGGCGAAAGCGUGGGGAGCAAACCGGAUUAGAUACCCGGGUAGUCCACGCCGUAAACGAUGAGUACUAGGUGUAGGGGGUAUCGACCCCCUCUGUGCCGAAGCCAACGCGAUAAGUACUCCGCCUGGGGACUACGGCCGCAAGGCUAAAACUCAAAGGAAUUGACGG